GUGGGGAAUCUUGCGCAAUGGGCGAAAGCCUGACGCAGCCAUGCCGCGUGAAUGAUGAAGGUCUUAGGAUUGUAAAAUUCUUUCACCGGGGACGAUAAUGACGGUACCCGGAGAAGAAGCUCCGGCUAACUUCGUGCCAGCAGCCGCGGUAAUACGAAGGGGGCUAGCGUUGCUCGGAAUUACUGGGCGUAAAGGGCGCGUAGGCGGACAGCUUAGUCAGAGGUGAAAGCCCAGGGCUCAACCUUGGAAUUGCCUUUGAUACUGGCUGUCUUGAGUUUGGGAGAGGUGAGUGGAACUCCGAGUGUAGAGGUGAAAUGCGUAGAUAUUCGGAAGAACACCAGUGGCGAAGGCGACUCACUGGCCCAAUACUGACGCUGAGGCGCGAAAGCGUGGGGAGCAAACAGGAUUAGAUACCCGUGUAGUCC
rnacentral:rRNA from 1 species